ACGAGUGAUAAUUUUGUUUACAGUUUUGCGAAAUAUCUAAAAUCAUCAGUGAUUUAACCAUUUAAAUCGCAGUAUAAGUAUAUGAAGAAUGGCUUGGCAGCAUAAAAAAAAAAUCAAUAACUUAAGGACCUUGAUUCCUUCAUUACUGAAGAUUUUUUCUGUACACCGAAGGUUAUGUGCUUAAAUGGAUAUACAUUCUCUAGACACAGAACGAGAGGGCUGCGGACUCGUUGGCAUUGUUCAAAGCAAAAACAAGGCUGUCGCGCCUCCGUCACUACGAUUGAAGGCAUGAUAGUUCGCUGCACGAAUGAACACACUCAUUAAAAUCCCUAAAAUGGCUAAUGCUUGUUAUGAAAUUUAUUUAUUUAUUUUAUUUUAUUUAUAUGCAUUUGUACAUUCACUUAUAGAUAUUAGGUUAUAACAAAAGGUACACAGGCGGACUUAUCCUUUAAAGGAAUUUCUUCCAGUCACCCUCGAGAACCCGAAAGGAGAAAAUAUUUAUAUUUAUUGUAGGAUAUUAUAUACUAUAAAAAGCAUAACAUAUAAGGUGCAAAAUUAAUAUUUUCAAUAAUAAAGAUAUACACAUGUAUAUUUGUAUAUAGUAGUAUAUAUUUGUCUUUUUUUUAAUGCCCUUUACCGAAUGGUUGUUUGGAAAAAAAUACUCAGAGAUAAGGCCGCCUUUUGUACUACACUAUACUUAUUGAAAAUCCUGUAAUAUUGUUCCAAACAAGUGUUGUGUAAAUAAAUAAAAUAAAAUUGUAAGCA